rnacentral:rRNA from 1 species
UACAUAGGUGGCAAGCGUUGUCCGGAUUUACUGGGCGUAAAGCGUAUGCAGGCGGAUUGUUAAGUAGGAAGUGAAAGGUUGGAGCUCAACUCCAACACUGCUCCCUAUACUGGCAGUCUUGAGUGGCGGAGAGGAAGACGGAACGACACGUGUAGCGGUGAAAUGCGUUGAUAUGUGUCGGAACACCAAUGGCGAAAGCAGUCUUCUGGACGCAAACUGACGCUGAGAUACGAAAGCCAAGGUAGCAAACAGG